AGCGGUCACAUGCUCCUCUGACCCCUGCUGGAACACGGAGUGAGGAUCUCACAGACUCAGAGAAAGCACCUGGGCAUAUUAUAUGAGAACAGGGAAGUCUCUCUCUAAAGGUUGCUUCUUAUACAGCGGCUUCCAAGUUCGGGGUGUAUGGAUGAACAUGCUGUACUGCUCAGGUUCCGUGAGAACCACUCACAGAUAAGCCUUGAAACUUCUCACAGCAGAUACACUAACAUUAAUAAAUCUACUCGUAUGAUAAGGGCAAUAACAUAAGACCAAAGAUGAUGAUGAUAAGAAGAAGAAAAAGAAGAGGAAAAAGAAGAAAAAAAAGAAGAAGAUGAAGAAGAAAAAGAAGAUGUAGAAGAUGAAGAAUAUAAUAAUAAAAAGAAAAGAAUGUAAAAAAUAUACUUGCAAAUCAUUACUUAUUUUAUGUUAAUCCAAAUCUUUACCAACCACACAAAUAAUACAUUCCAUGUUAUUCCACAAUGAAUAAUAAUAAUAAUAAUAAUAAUAAUAAAAAAACACCUGUUUAAAUAUAA